rnacentral:rRNA from 1 species
CCUACGGGAGGCAGCAGUGGGGAAUUUUCCGCAAUGGGCGCAAGCCUGACGGAGCAACGCCGCGUGAGGGAUGAAGGCCUCUGGGCUGUAAACCUCUUUUCUCAAGGAAGAAGACCUGACGGUACUUGAGGAAUAAGCCACGGCUAAUUCCGUGCCAGCAGCCGCGGUAAUACGGGAGUGGCAAGCGUUAUCCGGAAUUAUUGGGCGUAAAGCGUCCGCAGGCGGCCUAUUAAGUCUGUCGUUAAAGCGUGGAGCUCAACUCCAUUUAAGCGAUGGAAACUGGAAGGCUAGAGUGUGGUAGGGGCAGAGGGAAUUCCCGGUGUAGCGGUGAAAUGCGUAGAUAUCGGGAAGAACACCAGUGGCGAAGGCGCUCUGCUGGGCCAUAACUGACGCUCAUGGACGAAAGCCAGGGGAGCGAAAGGGAUUAGAUACCCCUGUAGUCCUGGCCGUAAACGAUGAACACUAGGUGUCGGGGAAUCGACCCCUCGGUGUCGUAGCUAACGCGUUAAGUGUUCCGCCUGGGGAGGUACGCGACGCAGUGUGAACGACGAAGAAGUAGACGGCGUGUAGACGUUGCGAAGGACGACGACGAGGGAGGAGG